GGCCAGUAUUUGGGUCGUAACUCAAGACUUUGGUCGUAAGUCAAACCCAGGAUCUGGUCAUGAUCCAAGUUGUUCUUAUGCCAGACCGGUCGUAACUCGAGGGUCCAGUGUAUCACAUUUUCUUGCUUUGCCUUUUUCUCUUUGGUCUUUAGGCAUUAGGGUGAGGUUGAGGGUAAUUUUGUCUGGAGGAGUUGAAUUUGGACUUCAAGACUGUGAGGUGUGUGUGUGUGUGCGCGUGUGCGUGUGUGUGCAUGUGUGUGCGUGUGCAUGUGUGUGCGUGUGUGUGCGUGUGCAUGUGUGAGACAGCAUGUUCUUUGGGGUCGGAGUUGCAGUGCGAGACAUGCAGACCCUGGAGCACUCUCGUGUUCUAGAGUGAGACUCCUCGCCCACCGUCCUGUCCCGUUUCUGGGAACCACACACUGCAGCGCAGUUGUUUGUUGAGUGCUUGUGAGGCGAGACCACCCCCCGGCAGCUGGACAGGUCCUCACAGGGAAAGAUGAGCAGCAUCCCGUCACACGUCUCGAUGCCCGGCUCGAAUUUCGUUCCUUCUCUGUUGGAAGGUGCAGCUUAUCUGACCGGAAGCCUCUUCGGUAGGAAAGCCAAUGUGAAACAGGAAAACUGAAUCCAAAUUCAUCCAGCGUAAAAACCCAUGUAAUAUUUUCUUCCCUCUGGAAACGGGGGUGUCCGUGUACUUGACGUGGUUUGCACCAAAACUUAGGCAUGUGGUCCUGCCUGGGAGUUAAACAGGCACACGGAUUUCUUUGGAGAUUUCCAGUUCUUCGAAUGCGAUUUGCAAAAGCCAGAUUCUCUUGUGUGUAGGCUGAGCUGUCUCCCAGAAAACCAGGGGGAGAAGCCAGGCUGUAAAAAGCCCCCAAAGCAUGCAGCGCUCAGUCCUGCGGGUCGGGUUAGGGGCCAGGACUGGGUGUGGUUGUUUCCAAGGGGGAAAAAUUGGUGGAAAAAUACAUGAAUUACUCCCAAGCUACUGGCUGGGUUGGUAUUAUUUAGAAAAGAGUCAACGCGCCUAAUUCGUUCCAGAAGCCUGCUUAUCCAAACAAUGAACGCACUUCAGGCCCCCUCAGGUGAGUCAUCCACGGCCCGUCUCUGCUUUGGAUCAUUGAACUCUCUGUCCACCCAAAUCCAAGACCCAGCUCUGCAAUCAGGUUUUUUUUAUUGUUGUUUUUUUUGCAACCAUUUUAAAAGAGACAUAAAAUAAAACGGAGAGGAAACUCGAUGCCGAGAAACACACAGAGCUGCACACAUCUGGGUUUGAUUGGGGCUGUGUUUUUAUUUCCAUGUUGCAGCUUUCAUUUUUCCAAAUGACCGAUGGGUGAAAAAUUUUUAAUGGCUGUAACCCUUUUUUUCCAACCGACAACGGCGAUCCGGGCUGUCAGAGCCCCAACCACGUUGCACGGUUCUGCGAAAACAUAUCAAGGAUAGAAGUCUCCCGUCCUUACAAAAGCCCUGCUUAAUUGAUCGCGUAUGCUAUAGGGUGGCCACGUCUCCAUGUCUCACAUGACCGUGUGCAGCCUGGGGUAAUAACAGAGCCCAGGAUCCAUUUAAUAAGGCAAGUGCUGGAUAUUUGAAUUGGGGAGAAAAAGAGGCAAAAUAGAUAGAUAGAUAGAUAGAUAGAUAGAUAGAUAGAUAGAUAGAUAGAUAGAUCAACACAGGCUAUAUUCAGUGUACACCUCAUCUCAAAUAAUUAUUUUCCACAAUAAUGAGAUUUGAUUUUCUUUCUGUUCCCAAACACAGAGAAUAGCUGUCUUAAUCCCUAUGGGAUACUCUAACAAAAUACUAUAGACUAUGUAUAUUUUAGACAGCAGGGCUUGGUGCCCAGUCCUGGAGUUUGAGGUUCACUGUACUGGUCUGUUCCUGUCUCUGUCCAUCAGGGCCACCAUAUGCAAUCCCACAGCCCAGGCGGCUGACACACAGCAGGGCUUGGUGCCCAGUCCUGGAGGCUGAGGUCCAAGGUCCAGGCGUAGCAGAGCCCGUGUCUGGUGAGGCUGCUUCCCGGGUCCCAGGUGGCGCCUUCUUGCUGUGUCCUCACCUGGUGGAAGGCAGGGGGCUCUCUGAUCCCCUCCACGAGGCUCCACCCUCAGGACCCCAGCACCUCCCAGAGCACCCAGCCCUGACCCCACCACGUUGGGGUCAUUGGGAUGAGGGGUCAACAUGUGAAAUCUGUGAAGAUUCAGAGCUACUCCACUCAAGGAGAUCAGAUUAAUUUAGGGAGAUCAAGGGGAAAAAAUAUGUCCAAUUUUCUAGAAAAUAUAGAACCCAGAAAUACAAGUGUUCAUCUCUACUUCUACGGAUGGCAAAACCCUACAUAAAGAGAAGUCUGCUGAAGGUGAAGUUCUGGGAUGAUGAUUUAUUUUCCCAUUUCUCCCAAGUUGCUUCAGGUGGUGUACGGGUGCAAAGAAGUUAAUCAUAUUGAUAAUUUCUGGUGAAAUUGUGUAUAACUUUAUACUAACAUUCCAUAAUGGUUAAUUUUUUUUUUUUUUUUUUUUUGCAG
rnacentral:lncRNA from 1 species